rnacentral:rRNA from 1 species
GGGGAAUUUUGGACAAUGGGGGCAACCCUGAUCCAGCCAUGCCGCGUGCGGGAAGAAGGCCUUCGGGUUGUAAACCGCUUUUGUCAGGGAAGAAACGGUCUGCGCUAAUACCGCGGACUAAUGACGGUACCUGAAGAAUAAGCACCGGCUAACUACGUGCCAGCAGCCGCGGUAAUACGUAGGGUGCAAGCGUUAAUCGGAAUUACUGGGCGUAAAGCGUGCGCAGGCGGCUUUGCAAGACAGAUGUGAAAUCCCCGGGCUCAACCUGGGAACUGCAUUUGUGACUGCAUGGCUAGAGUGCGGCAGAGGGGGAUGGAAUUCCGCGUGUAGCAGUGAAAUGCGUAGAUAUGCGGAGGAACACCGAUGGCGAAGGCAAUCCCCUGGGCCUGCACUGACGCUCAUGCACGAAAGCGUGGGGAGCAAACAGGAUUAGAUACCCUGGUAGUCCACGCCCUAAACGAUGUCAACUGGUUGUUGGACGGCUUGCUGUUCAGUAACGAAGCUAACGCGUGAAGUUGACCGCCUGGGGAGUACGGCCGCAAGGUUG